CUUACCGUGAAGCCGCGGACCGAGCCGGAAGCGGAGGCCAGGAUGGUGCGUGGCACAUGGUUGCUGCCCAGUACUUGUCUGAGUUUGCUGCCUCAUGGACCCAGUGAGAAUUAAGACCUCUGCUCUUCAAGAUACUGUCUUCAACUUCUGGAUGUGUCAGGUGGGGAGUAGCAUUUCUUUCAGACGCUUCUCUUUUGGCAUUUUUUUCUAGGUUCCCCUACUCCUUUCCAGAAGGCUCAGUGAAUUUCUCACAUUUUAUUGUUGGAGAGAAAGCCAGCUCCUUGCUAGGCUACAGAGAGUGGAGAAGGAAUGAGCUUGCAGGGCUGUGCCCUAGAGAUUUAUCUCUCAGUUGUUUCCCAAGAUAGGAACUUUCUUUUAAGAAAAUCUCUCUUUUCUUUUGUUUUCAUUCUUGUACUGCUUCUAAUCUGAUGUAGCAGGUUUCCAAAGUUCUGUUUCUUUCUGGACUUCCUGAGCACAUGUGAUUCCUUAAGACAGUGUUUCAGGCGCAGGCUUUUCUCAUUUCCUUCUUAACCUUUGUGGCUACGGUAAUUUCAUUGAGUGUUUUUUCUGCUUCAAGUCUAGAAAGAUGACAUAUUUUAUUUCUAAUAAGGGCAUUUUUGUUAUAAAUAAAAUCCACCACCUUUUUAAGAUUGAAGCUGCAUUGUAAGUGUCAGAACUAUAAAACCAUAGCCAGAAUUAUUGACAUACAGGCCAGCAAGUGGGGAGUGACCCUUAAACCAACUAGAAAAACACCACAUGAGUUGUUCUGGUUUUGUCCUUUGGCCUUGAGUCUAGCUCAGAUGCAACUGGGGACAGCCUUUUCAUGUUGCCUGCUGGGCUGGGACUACCAAUAAAGUUUGGAGCUUACACAUGUUUGUGUUCCUUAGCUAAGGAAAGCUGGCCUGUCAAACUAGCUAAAAAAACAGUAAAGGACCAAAUACUUGUUUUGCCCCAAUAUCUAAAAGGUGUGUGUAGGGAAAGACUUCCUGUAGUCAAAUCUAUGCCUCAGCAGGGCCUGCUCGCUAGGGUCUUUUCUGCUGCUUAGGCUUUGCAGAUGCCCCAUAAGGGAAGGCAGUAGGUCUGUGCUAAGGCCAAGGUCAGUGCCCAUACCUUAGCUCUUAUAUUCAUAAACCAUAGUGCUUGCACAAGGACAGUGCCUUUGCUGAACCAUGUGACUGGCAUUUCAUUAAGGUAUUCAUUCAUCCCUGCUUGUCUAUAAAAUCAGGUUUAUGGGGCCCCUGGGUGGCUCAGUUGGUUAAGUGUCCCAACUCUUGAUUUCGGCUCAGGUCAUGAUCUCAUGGUUUGUGAGUUUGAGCCCUGUGUCUGGUUCUGUGCUGACAGUGUGGAGCCUGCUUGGGAUUCUCUCUCUUUGCCCCUCCCCGACUUGUGCUUGCUCUCUCUCUCUCUCUCUCUCUAAAUAAAUAAAUAAAUAAACAAACAUGUAAAAUCAGGUUUAUAAAAACACUUGCCUAUGAACAAAGUACCCGGCGUUCAGCAUGGCCAACCUGAAAAGUGUUUGAAAUGCCUCAAGUGCUAGUCCCACCAGGGCCUCAACUUGUAUGUGAUGUUUCGCUCCCCACAUUCUUCACUGGAUCUCCUUUUUCUUAUGUUCUUUGCCACAUCAUCAGAUCCUAACAUUCCUUUGAAUACGACAUCUUCCAGCCCUGCCAAAGGGCAGAGCCUGUUCCUGUAAAACUUACAACACAGAGCAGCAGAACCUGUGGGCAGGGGGUUCCCAAAAGAAGGAAAGGAAGAAGAGGCCAAGAAGAUUCAGCCAGGAGAGGAGAGGUGUGGCAAGAGACCAGGAGUGUUUAGAAGAAAUCCUUCUUCAUGGACUCAAGGAGUCAGUCCAAGAACUGAAAAAAUAACUCUGGUUUCAACAUGUGUGUUUGGGAAAUGGUUAAGAGGUUGACUUAAAGAAGAGAAUGCAUUCAUUUGGGAUGUGGUGAGUUUGGAGUGAUGGUAAGACAUUCAAGCAGAAGUAGCUUGGUGGUGGUUGGAUCAAGUUCGGUGGGAGUUAUCAAAGUGGUGAUAGUUGGAAAUCUGUCAGUGAGGAACUGAUCAUGGGAAAGAAUGCAGAGAGAAGGUAAGGUCAAAGACCUUCCUUUGUCAAAGAAUAGUAUAAAAACUUUAUGUAUAUUGGGGCACCUGGUUGACUCAGUUGGAUAAGUGUCCAUCUCUGGAUUUUGACUCAGGUCAUGAUCUCACAGUUCAUGGGUUCGAGCCCCAUGGGUGCGGAGCCUGCUUGGGAUUCUCUCUCCCUCCCUUUCUGCCCCUCCCCUGCUCGCUUUCUGUCUCAAAAUAAACUUAAGUUUUUUCAGACUUUAUGUAUGUAUAUAAAGGGGGUGACUGGCUGGCUCUGUUGGAAAGCAGGCAACUCUUUUUUUUUUUUUUUUUUUCUAACUUUUUAACAUUUAAUUCAUU